GAUCCGGUAGGUAAGGCUACCGCAGGGAUACGGGCUGUUGCCGCAAAACGAUGGAGACAUCGUGCGCAGGUCGAACAGGUCGCGUCGGAACCAAGGCGCGACAUAACACAGCUUCAUUGCCCCGCGAAGUCAAAGCUUGAACGGUCG
rnacentral:sRNA from 1 species